UGGGGAAUAUUGCACAAUGGAGGGAACUCUGAUGCAGCGACGCCGCGUGAGUGAUGAAGGCACUCGUUUCGCAAAACUCUGUUCUAUGGGAAGAAAAGGACUGUACCAUAGGAGAAAGCUCAGGCUAAAUACGUGCCAGCAGCCGCGGUAAUACGGAUGGAGCGAGCGUUGUCCGGAAUUAUUGGGAGAAAAGUGAGCGCUGGCGGCAUUACAAGUUGGAUGUGAAAUAUUGUGGCUCAACCACAAACGUGCGUCCAAAUCUGCAAAACUUGAGUUAGGGAAAGGUAAGGGGAAUUCCUAGUAUAGCCGUGGAAUGCGAAGAUAUCAAGAGGAAGACCGGUGGCGAAGGCGACAUACAGAACUUAAAAUGACGCACAGGCACGAAAGCGUGGGGAGCAAACAGG
rnacentral:rRNA from 1 species